rnacentral:rRNA from 1 species
UACGUAGGGUGCGAGCGUUAAUCGGAAUUACUGGGCGUAAAGGGUGCGUAGGUGGCCCUGUAAGUCAGUGGUGAAAUAUCUCAGCUUAACUGAGAGGGUGCCAUUGAUACUGCAGGGCUUGAGUACAGAUGAGGUAGGCGGAAUUGACGGUGUAGCGGUGAAAUGCAUAGAUAUCGUCAAGAACACCGAUAGCGAAGGCAGCUUACCAAGCUGUAACUGACACUGAGGCACGAAAGUGUGGGGAUCAAACAGG